rnacentral:rRNA from 1 species
GGAGGGUGCAAGCGUUAUCCGGAUUCACUGGGUUUAAAGGGUGCGUAGGUGGGUUGGUAAGUCAGUGGUGAAAUCUCCAGGCUUAACUUGGAAACUGCCAUUGAUACUAUCAAUCUUGAAUACCGUGGAGAUGAGCGGAAUAUGUCAUGUAGCGGUGAAAUGCUUAGAUAUGACAUAGAACACCAAUUGCGAAGGCAGCUCGUUACACGAAUAUUGACACUGAUGCACGAAAGCGUGGGGAUCAAACAGGAUUAGAUACCCUGGUAGUCCACGCCCUAAACGAUGGAUACUCGACAUUUGCGAUAAACUGCAAGUGUCUGAGCGAAAGCAUUAAGUAUCCCACCUGGGAAGUACGACCGCAAGGUUG